GAUGAACGCUGGCGGCGUGCUUAACACAUGCAAGUCGAGCGAAGCAGUUAAGUUGAUUUCUUCGGAUUGAUUUUUAACUGACUGAGCGGCGGACGGGUGAGUAACGCGUGGGUGACCUGCCCCAUACCGGGGGAUAACAGCUGGAAACGGCUGUUAAUACCGCAUAAGCGCACAGAGCUGCAUGACUCCGUGUGAAAAACUCCGGUGGUAUGGGAUGGGCCCGCGUCUGAUUAGGCAGUUGGCGGGGUAACGGCCCACCAAACCGACGAUCAGUAGCCGGCCUGAGAGGGCGACCGGCCACAUUGGGAUUGAGACACGGCCCAAAAUCCUACGGGAGGCAGCAGUGGGGAAUAUUGCACAAUGGGGGAAACCCUGAUGCAGUGACGCCGCGUGAGCGAAGAAGUAUUUCGGUAUGUAAAGCUCUAUCAGCAGGGAAGAUAAUGACGGUACCUGACUAAGAA
rnacentral:rRNA from 1 species